rnacentral:ribozyme from 1 species
CAAAGAGAAAGAAAGAAAAAAGGCCGGGACAAAAAUAAAAAAAAUUCUGAGAAAAAAAAUAUCGCACACGCUUGGUCUUCUAUU